GCUUACGGCCAUACCAGCCUGGGUACGCCCGAUCUCGUCUGAUCUCGGAAGCUAAGCAGGGUCGGGCCUAGUUAGUACUUGGAUGGGAGACCGCCUGGGAAUACCAGGUGCUGUAAGCA
rnacentral:rRNA from 1 species